rnacentral:rRNA from 1 species
AUUGAACGCUGGCGGCAGGCCUAACACAUGCAAGUCGAGAGAGCGGCGGACGGGUGAGUAAUGUAUGGGGACUGCCCGAUCGAGGGGGAUAACUACUGGAAACGGUGGCUAAUACCGACUACUGCCGGCUAACCCAUAUGGGAUGAGCGAGUAGGUAAGGUAAUGGCUUACCGAGGCGACGACCCCUAGCUGGUCUGAGAGGAUGAUCAGCCACACUGGGACUGAGACCCGGCCCAGACUCCUACGGAGGCAGCAGUGGGGAAUAUUGCACAAUUGGCGCAAGCCUGAUGCAGCCAUGCCGCGUGUAUGAAGAAGGCCCUAGGGUUGUAAAGUACUUUCAGUCGGGAGGCGUUACCGACAGAAGAAGCACCGGCUAACUCCGUGCCAGCAGCCGCGGUAAUAC